GACGAAGGUGGCAAGCGUUACUCGGAAUGACUAGGCGUAAAGGGCAGGUAGGUGGCUUGGUAAGUCUGUUGUGAAAGCUCCUGGCUUAACUGGGAGAGGUCAACAGAGACUGUCAGGCUUGAGUAUGGGAGAGGGUACUGGAAUUCCCGGUGUAGCGGUGAAAUGCGCAGAUAUCGGGAGGAACACCAAUGGCGAAAGCAAGUACCUGGACCAUUACUGACACUCAGCUGCGAAAGCUAGGGGAGCAAACAGG
rnacentral:misc_RNA from 1 species